AGCAAAGUAGAUACAAUUGAAGAAACUAUUCCAUUUUAUUUCAUUUUGUUACUUUAAGUUGUUUUUAUGUAAUUUAGUUUGUUUUCAAUUUUGUUGCUGAUGUAUUUGAUGUAGUUAGGUAGUAUUGAGCUAAUAAAUCAGCUUGUCAAAGUGUACAAGUAAUGUUUAACAAGUUUCAAUGUUGUUUUGUAGUAGUAGGUGAUUGUUUAGGUGAAAUUUGUUCAUU
rnacentral:lncRNA from 1 species